rnacentral:lncRNA from 1 species
GUGAGGGCGCUUCCUCGACAGGGAUCUGUUGCUGUUCCACUUAUGAUUCUUCAUCAUUGUUGUUGUUCCCUCCCUGAUGCUUCUUUUGCUGGUUACUUCUUCUUCUCUCUUCUCCGUAACUGUGGUAGCGGUGGAGAAGCUUCCGCUGAUGCUGCAUGGUUCUUCUGAGAGCUGAGACACUACCUCUGAGACUUCACCUUCUUUUUUGUUGAUGAUAAUGGGAUUGGGAAUGGGAUGUGGGUUC